UACGUAGGUGGCAAGCGUUGUCCGGAUUUACUGGGCGUAAAGGGAGCGUAGGCGGACUUUUAAGUGAGAUGUGAAAUACCCGGGCUCAACUUGGGUGCUGCAUUUCAAACUGGAAGUCUAGGGUGCAGGAGAGGAGAAUGGAAUUCCUAGUGUAGCGGUGAAAUGCGUAGAGAUUAGGAGGAACACCAGUAGCGAAGGCGGCUCUCUGGACUGUAACUGACGCUGAGGCACGAAAGCGUGGGGAGCAAACAGGAUUAGAUACCCUGGUAGU
rnacentral:rRNA from 1 species